GGUUGUAUAGCUCAGCGGUAGAGCACUGCCCUCAUAAGGCAGCGUGCGGUGGCUCGAACCCACCUGCAACCACCA
rnacentral:tRNA from 1 species